CCUUUAGUGAUUAAAACUAAAGAUUUAUUAUAAAGGAAAAAGAAAGAACAAGAAGAGUAAAACAGUCACACACAUGCAAAGACUUCAAAGUCCAAAUAUCUGGUUCUUAGCAGUAUUGGUGAGUUUGCUGGCUUGAAAGCCCCUCUGGAACACAUCCAGAGCCUGGAGUCACACAUGCAGAGCUUCGUUUGGAGAAAAGCCACUCCAGAGCAGAUCUAGUGAAGACCUGCGAAAUCAACCACAGAUCGCUCUCCCCUCGACUCCUGUACUCCACCUGAACCAGAAGCGCAAGUGGAAUCUAUGGGAGAGCGUCUCCUGUCUACAUAGCACACCGUGGACCCCACGCGGGAAAAGUGGCUUCGAAGAUCUUUCCAUCCACACCAGCGGCUCAGCCAGAGAAGGAGAUGUGGGAUGACAUGUUCCAAGAGAUUCUGCAAGCCUCUGGUGCUUCAGAUACCAAGCACAGGGCUUGGAGGAUCACCCCUGUGGACAGAAUGGAUGAGGAUGGAGCGGAGAGGAGAAAAGCGUAGCAAAAGGAGAGGGAUGUGCAGCAGGAGAUGCCAACGCUUCUCAAGAGGCAAACAGACAUGCUGCAGACUCUGGUUGACCUUCAGGUUCAAGAUACCCAUAUUCGUCUCCCUCUGCAGCCCAUAGAGAAUUGCAUUCUGGGACUUCCCUACACCCCCUGCCCUCACCUCACAUUCCAUGUGGCAUCCAGGGCCGCUGCCCUAUGCCUGCCACUCCACCCUGGGGGAAAGUGCAAGCAAAAACAGCUGCACAUAUACUGACCUGGAGAGACAAGGUUGGAGUAUGUACUUGUGAAAUUAAAAUGACUGUUCUCACCUCUCUAAAGGUUCUUUUCCAUGCAUUUACAGUUUCAUUCAAUUACAGAUAUGUCUAUUUAUAUGGGUUUGAAAUAAAAGUCUAUUUAUGGAAACUUAAUUCAUCUUUAUUAGUUCCCAACAUGUGCUGGCUGGGGCUGACAUCAUUCACAGAUAGUAGCAAUAGGUGUAUUUGCAAUGUUAUAUUAAUACACACACAGCACUCAUUAUGCCUGGGGGAAUUCUGCGCCACUGCACACAGGCAGAAUUCAUGGCUCCACAGAUUCUUUUUUCUCUGCAGAAUAUGGAUUCUGCUGGAGAGCUGCUGCAGUUACACCUUUUGCUCACCAGAGGCUGUUGUGGCACCAGAAGAGAGGGCAGUCAUUUCUCUGCAGAAUAUGGAUUCUGAUGGAGAGGCGACGUUUUUCACAGUGGGGCCAGGUGAGGAGGCACAUGAGGGACAGAGUGUGGCACAUGGGGCUGCUGGGAGAUCACAGACAAGGGUUCAGAAGGGCUAGUGGGUGGUACAGACUGGGGCGCAGGCUCAGGAGCUAGUGGGGUGACAGCAUUGAGCCGGAGGCUGAAUGGAACGGGGGGUGCAGGGACACAUUUGGAUGAGGGGGCUGUAGGGUCACACAGGGACAGGGUAGGAUGCUGCAAGGACAUAUGGGGAUGGGGGUAGAUGUGCCUGACUGAAUGGGAGAGGCUGGGGGUCAGCCAUG